rnacentral:rRNA from 1 species
UACGAAGGGGGCUAGCGUUGCUCGGAAUGACUGGGCGUAAAGGGCGCGUAGGCGGUUCGUACAGUCAGACGUGAAAUUCCCGGGCUCAACCUGGGGGCUGCGUUUGAUACGUGCGGGCUUGAGUUCGGAAGAGGGUCGUGGAAUUCCCAGUGUAGAGGUGAAAUUCGUAGAUAUUGGGAAGAACACCGGUGGCGAAGGCGAUCACCUGGGGUUGUUCUGACGCUGAGGAGCGAAAGCUAGGGGAGCAAACGGG